ACCAUGCAAGUCGAGCGGUAACAGAAAGUAGCUUGCUACUUUGCUGACGAGCGGCGGACGGGUGAGUAAUGCUUGGGAACAUGCCUUGAGGUGGGGGACAACAGUUGGAAACGACUGCUAAUACCGCAUAAUGUCUACGGACCAAAGGGGGCUUCGGCUCUCGCCUUUAGAUUGGCCCAAGUGGGAUUAGCUAGUUGGUGAGGUAAUGGCUCACCAAGGCAACGAUCCCUAGCUGGUUUGAGAGGAUGAUCAGCCACACUGGAACUGAGACACGGUCCAGACUCCUACGGGAGGCAGCAGUGGGGAAUAUUGCACAAUGGGCGAAAGCCUGAUGCAGCCAUGCCGCGUGUGUGAAGAAGGCCUUCGGGUUGUAAAGCACUUUCAGUCAGGAGGAAAGGGUGUGAGUUAAUACCUCAUAUCUGUGACGUUACUGACAGAAGAAGCACCGGCUAACUCCGUGCCAGCAGCCGCGGUAAUACGGAGGGUGCGAGCGUUAAUCGGAAUUACUGGGCGUAAAGCGUACGCAGGCGGUUUGUUAAGCGAGAUGUGAAAGCCCCGGGCUCAACCUGGGAACUGCAUUUCGAACUGGCAAACUAGAGUGUGAUAGAGGGUGGUAGAAUUUCAGGUGUAGCGGUGAAAUGCGUAGAGAUCUGAAGGAAUACCGAUGGCGAAGGCAGCCACCUGGGUCAACACUGACGCUCAUGUACGAAAGCGUGGGGAGCAAACGGGAUUAGAUACCCCGGUAGUCCACGCCGUAAACGAUGUCUACUAGAAGCUCGGAACCUCGGUUCUGUUUUUCAAAGCUAACGCAUUAAGUAGACCGCCUGGGGAGUACGGCCGC
rnacentral:rRNA from 1 species